rnacentral:rRNA from 1 species
CCUACGGGUGGCAGCAGUGAGGAAUAUUGGUCAAUGGGCGAGAGCCUGAACCAGCCAAGUCGCGUGAGGGAGUACUGCCCUAUGGGUUGUAAACCUCUUUUGUCGGGGAGCAAAAGCCGGACGUGUCCGGCUGUGAGAGUACCCGAAUAAAAAGCAUCGGCUAACUCCGUGCCAGCAGCCGCGGUAAUACGGAGGAUGCGAGCGUUAUCCGGAUUUAUUGGGUUUAAAGGGUGCGCAGGCGGAUUUUUAAGUCAGCGGUAAAAUCGUGGGGCUCAACCCCAUCCAGCCGUUGAAACUGGGGAUCUAGAGUGUGCGAGAGGUAUGCGGAAUGCGUGGUGUAGCGGUGAAAUGCAUAGAUAUCACGCAGAACCCCGAUCGCGAAGGCAGCAUACCGGUGCACAACUGACGCUCAGGCACGAAAGCGUGGGUAUCGAACAGGAUUAGAUACCCCAGUAGUC